GCCCCAGAGGUCCGACGGACGGGCGGCCGCCUCUAAAGCGGUGAUAGCGGGUUCGACUCCUGCCUGGGGCG
rnacentral:tRNA from 1 species